rnacentral:rRNA from 1 species
AUACGUAGGGUGCAAGCGUUAAUCGGAAUUACUGGGCGUAAAGCGUGCGCAGGCGGUUUUGUAAGACAGAGGUGAAAUCCCCGGGCUCCACCUGGGGACUGCCUUUGUGACUGCAAGGCUAGAGUACGGGCGAGGGGGAUGGAAUUCCGCGUGGUGCAGUGAAAUGCGUAGAUAUGCGGAGGAACACCGAUGGCGAAGGCAAUCCCCUGGGCCUGUACUGACGCUCAUGCACGAAAGCGUGGGGAGCAAACAGGAUCAGAUACCCUGGUAGUCCACGCCCUAAACGAUGUCAACUGGUUGUUGGGUCUUCAUUGACUCAGUAACGAAGCUAACGCGUGAAGUUGACCGCCUGGGGAGUACGGCCGCAAGGUUGAAACUCAAAUGAAUUGACGGGG